AAUAUUGCGCAAUGGGGGAAACCCUGACGCAGCAACGCCGCGUGAAGGAUGAAGGUUUUCGGAUCGUAAACUUCUUUGAUGAGGGACGGAGAAAUGACGGUACCUCAAAAACAAGCCACGGCUAACUACGUGCCAGCAGCCGCGGUAAUACGUAGGUGGCGAGCGUUGUCCGGAAUUACUGGGUGUAAAGGGCGUGUAGGCGGGAAAGCAAGUCAGAUGUGAAAUACCGUGGCUUAACCACGGGGCUGCAUCUGAAACUGUUUUUCUUGAGUGUCGGAGAGGAAAGUGGAAUUCCCAGUGUAGCGGUGAAAUGCGUAGAUAUUGGGAGGAACACCAGUGGCGAAGGCAGCCCCCUGGGAUAAUACUGACGCUCAGACACGAAAGCGUGGGGAGCAAACAG
rnacentral:rRNA from 1 species